ACGCUCGACACCUACGGAUGCAGCAGUGAGGAAUAUUGGUCAAUGGGCGCUAGCCUGAACCAGCCAAGUAGCGUGAAGGAUGAAGGCUCUAUGGGUCGUAAACUUCUUUUAUAUAAGAAUAAAGUGCAGUAUGUAUACUGUUUUGUAUGUAUUAUAUGAAUAAGGAUCGGCUAACUCCGUGCCAGCAGCCGCGGUAAUCUGAGCGGGCUGGCAAGGC
rnacentral:rRNA from 1 species